CUGGGGUUAGAGGAAGAGCCCUGGAAAUGAAAGUGAUUAAAGGUGGUUGUAGCAGCAGAUAGGAAGGAAGUGAAGGUAGCAAGUAGGAAUUGGAAGAUCAUUCAGAUGUUUUGCGGAUCAUUCAGAUGUUUUGUACCACCUGGUACCCAGAAGCUGUCACUCUCCACCUGGUAACCUCCAAGACCAUCACAAAGGAGAUGAUCCUGUUGUGCAGCCACAGAAACUCAUCACCAAUCAGGGCGAGCCCUUCGUCUUCAGGCUAAAGAAGGACCUCUGUCGGCUACUCUAGGUGCAACACCUGCGCACCUCCGUCUACCUCCUCCAGAUUGUAGAAUUCAAACAGACCCUGAAGAGGAUGCUGCGGCAGGUUAUAGCAGAGAUCAGCCGCACGUGGGACCUAAUAAUCCUGAAUGUGCUGUUUUCGGAGUGUGAAAUCCCCCAGACCCCCACCGGUUUCUUUCUUCUGUAAAGACAUCUUAAUGAAAGUGGCAUUGUAGAGCUUCAGUGGAAAGAUACUUAUUAUUGACCUACAAGUGAAGAUGGAUAACGAUCAGCAUGCCCCAAACAAUAGUGGUUUACUAUUGUCCAGUACUAUUGCACAAGUGGAUUUUCGAAGUAUGUAACCGUCUAUGCUUUUUGAGGAAAUAUUGCCCACAACCACUUGUGCAAUGAAAGAGGAGAGCUUUGUGACAAUUCUCCCGACUUUGAGAGUUUUCAAAAGAACAUUCAUUCUUGAAAGCUGGAAUUCUUGGAGCUUGUUGGGUCAAAGCAAUUGUGGGAGUGAAUACAGCACAGGCUCCAUUCACUGCUGUGGGCUUUAUCGGGAUGUGACAGCCAACGAUGGAUGGGACUGCAUGAAAGACAGUUGAGCAUGCCAGUCUGGCAAACCCUGUGCCCACCUACUCUACUUCCUCACACUCUGGGAGACAAACAACUUUUUUAACAGCCCUACUGACCAUGUGCACAAACGUGUGUAAUGUGGACCUAGGCAAGCAGCCAACACUUGAUAGGAUGCAGUAUGAACCAAGAAGUACAGGAACACAAGGACCUCCACCUCCUUGUACCACCCAUGCCGCGGUCACUUCCACUAUGGAUGCCUUAGUCAGUGGCAGGUCAGAACAGAGAUCAAUGUGUCCAUCAAAGCCUCAGGAUGGGUACAGUUGGGUUGAUGUGGCAGUGGGAGGUGGGGUUGCCAGGCUAGAAAACACAUAAAUAACAAGCUCCAGUCCAGUCAUGCAAGAGUUCUCUCUCUCCUUUUCCAUAUAAAAUAUUUAAUUUGAAUAUAUAAUACUAAGUAAAUACUGCUUUACACUAACUAAAUACUUCAGUCAAGAAUAUUAAUGAUCAGAUGAGAAUGUUUAAUUGUAUUCACUGUUUUAAUCUGCAAAACAUAGUGGAGUCCACACAACUUAAGGCAACGACACUUAAGCCAAGAACAGGCAAUGGCAACGUAAUAAAUGCAUACAGGGUUUAGAUUACUUACAGCAUUAUGGAGAGAAUCAUCAGUAGAGCCCUCCAGACCAUGGACCAGAAACUGACAGCUCUUCAACAAUGUGCAGCUUCAGUUUUUGCCAAAAUGGUAGGCAUUUGAUGUUUGACGAUUUAGCUCAAUGUUGGCUAGCUAAAUAUUCAAACUUGGCUGGGUUUUAAUAUGUAUCAAACUGAUCUAAUGUAUCUCCCAAUACUGGCUAAUUAAUUACUUAACAGUACAUACUUCAAGAUCACUGCAGUACGUAGUAUUCUGAAUGCAAAUGAAGGCAGGCCUAUGGGAGUUUGGUAUGUGUGUCACCAUUGAAACCACCAUUUUUACACCAGUAAAACAGCAUAGAUGACCAUUUAGAGAUGAAAUGUAUC
ensembl:lncRNA